AAUAUUGCGCAAUGGAGGGAACUCUGACGCAGCGACGCCGCGUGAGCGAUGAAGGUCUUCGGAUCGUAAAGCUCUGUCCUUGGGGAAGAAGGUCUUCGGACUUGACGGUACCUAAGGAGGAAGCCCCGGCUAACUACGUGCCAGCAGCCGCGGUAAUACGUAGGGGGCAAGCGUUGUCCGGAAUUAUUGGGCGUAAAGGGUGCGUAGGCGGCAUUUUAAGACAGAUGUAAAAGCCCACGGCUUAACCGGGGGACUGCAUUGGAAACGGGAGGGCUUGAGUAUCGGAGAGGGGAGUGGAAUUCCCAGUGUAGCGGGGGAAUGCGUAGAUAUUGGGGGGAACACCAGUGGCGAAGGCGACUACCUGGACGAAAACUGACGCUGAGGCACGAAAGCUAGGGGAGCAAACA
rnacentral:rRNA from 1 species